rnacentral:rRNA from 1 species
UACAGAGGUCCCGAGCGUUGUUCGGAUUCACUGGGCGUAAAGGGUGCGUAGGUGGUGAGGUAAGUCGGAUGUGAAAUCUCCGGGCUUAACCCGGAAAUGGCAUUGGAAACUACCUUGCUAGAGGAUUUGAGGGGGGAUUGGAAUACUUGGUGUAGCAGUGAAAUGCGUAGAUAUCAAGUGGAACACCAGUGGCGAAGGCGAGUCCCUGGACGACUCCUGACACUGAGGCACGAAAGCUAGGGGAGCAAACAGG